rnacentral:rRNA from 1 species
UACGUAGGGUGCGAGCGUUGUCCGGAAUUAUUGGGCGUAAAGAGCUCGUAGGCGGUGUGUCACGUCGUUCGUGAAAACCUGCAGCUUAACUGUGGGCGUGCGGUCGAUACGGGCAUCACUGGAGUUCGGCAGGGGAGACUGGAAUUCCUGGUGUAGCGGUGAAAUGCGCAGAUAUCAGGAGGAACACCGGUGGCGAAGGCGGGUCUCUGGGCCGAAUACUGACGCUGGAGGAGCGAAAGCGUGGGGAGCAAACAGG